rnacentral:rRNA from 1 species
GGGUGAGUAACGGGUAUGGAACCUUCCCGUAGCAGGGGGAUAAGCGGAAGAAAUUCCGUCUAAUACCGCGUAAUAACUCCGAGGGGCAUCUCUUGGGGUUUAAAGGGUAACACCGGCUACGGAUGGCCAUGCGGCGCAUUAGCUAGUUGGCGGGGUAACGGCCCACCAAGGCGACGAUGCGUAGGGGUUCUGAGAGGAAGGUCCCCCACACUGGUACUGAGACACGGACCAGACUCCUACGGGAGGCAGCAGUGAGGAAUAUUGGUCAAUGGGCGCGAGCCUGAACCAGCCAAGUCGCGUGAGGGAAGACGGUCCUAUGGAUUGUAAACCUCUUUUGUCGGGGAGCAAAAGACGCCACGCGUGGCGUUCCGAGAGUACCCGAAGAAAAAGCAUCGGCUAACUCCGUGCCAGCAGCCGCGGUAAUACGGGGGAUGCGAGCGUUAUCCGGAUUUAUUGGGUUUAAAGGGUGCGCAGGCGGAAGAUCAAGUCAGCGGUAAAAUUGAGAGGCUCAACCUCUUCGAGCCGUUGAAACUGGUUUUCUUGAGUGAGCGAGAAGUAUGCGGAAUGCGUGGUGUAGCGGUGAAAUGCAUAGAUAUCACGCAGAACUCCGAUUGCGAAGGCAGCAUACCGGCGCUCAACUGACGCUCAUGCACGAAAGUGUGGGUAUCGAACAGGAUUAGAUACCCUGGUAGUCCACACAGUAAACGAUGAAAACGAAUUGUUCGGG